ensembl:snRNA U6 U6 spliceosomal RNA
GUGCUUGCUUCGGCAGCACAUAUACUAAAAUUGGAACGAUACAGAGAUUAUCAUGGCCCCUGCACAAGGAUGACACGCAAAUUCGUGAAGCGUUCCAUAUCACC